CUUGAAUAGCAAUAUAGGUACAUAUAAUAAUAUUAUGUAGGUAUGCAAUUUAAAACCCCUGUAAGGCUGUAUGGCCUGUAUCAUUUUAGAACUCAUUUUGAAUUUGAAUUUUAGUGUGAAUGUGCUUAGGUACUGUAUUGUAACAUUUAUAAUU